GACGAACGCUGGCGGCGUGCCUAAUACAUGCAAGUAGAACGCUGAAGGAGGAGCUUGCUUCUCCGGAUGAGUUGCGAACGGGUGAGUAACGCGUAGGUAACCUGCCUGGUAGCGGGGGAUAACUAUUGGAAGCGAUAGCUAAUACCGCAUAAGAGUAGAUGUUGCAUGACAUUUGCUUAAAAGGUGCAAUUGCAUCACUACCAGAUGGACCUGCGUUGUAUUAGCUAGUUGGUGAGGUAACGGCUCACCAAGGCGACGAUACAUAGCCGACCUGAGAGGGUGAUCGGCCACACUGGGACUGAGACACGGCCCAGACUCCUACGGGAGGCAGCAGUAGGGAAUCUUCGGCAAUGGACGGAAGUCUGACCGAGCAACGCCGCGUGAGUGAAGAAGGUUUUCGGAUCGUAAAGCUCUGUUGUAAGAGAAGAACGAGUGUGAGAGUGGAAAGUUCACACUGUGACGGUAUCUUACCAGAAAGGGACGGCUAACUACGUG
rnacentral:rRNA from 1 species